GCUAGAGCGGACAAGUUUGUUUCAGCAAUUAAGAAAGUUAGUGAGAGGUGAGAGAAAGAUGGAAAGCGCUCAAGUGCGUUGCUGUGUGUUAGAGGAUGACUUUUACACCGUACUGCAAAAGUCUGAAAGUGAAAGAAAAUGUGUCAGGUCAUAUUGGUGCAAAAGCGCGCCUCGCAAAUGUUGGCUGAAUUUAAAAAAGAAACAGAAGUGCAACGUUUGCGCCUGACCGCCAGUGAUGUGGGGUUCUCAUUGACUUUCUGAUGAAGAUGAGAAUGAGGAGAGACAAACUGGACUGUCCAUGAGGUCUGGGGUCAGCUUACUUACACACCUUUUAGGUCUAAGACGCAGGAUUGAGAAACAGUUUCACCGCAGGACUAUCAGACUGGUUUCCACCACAUUCACCCAUCCUGACAAGCGGUGGGGAAACCACCCCAGCAAAGCUCAUCUGUAUGCAGCCAGUUAUGGCCACCAGUGAAUGUCGGCCGUGUCUUGGGAGGCAGAUGGGACUGUAUGCUAAUGAGAAGUUGAGAUGUUGCUGAGGCACUUUGUGGUUAUGACCUCAUCAUCAUGAGAUGGAAAGGCUGGUGACUGCAGGCAGCUACAGAAGAGGUGGUGCUGUGUUGUGGUUUGCAGCUGCUGGUUCUUGGCAAAAUAAAUUGCACUGUGGAGAUGCCUCAGGGAAUUAUUUGCUCAAAGGUUGAAAGGAUGAACAAAAAAAAGGAAUUCAAGAGAUAUUUGUGAUUCAUACUGUGUUUGUCUGUAGUUGUGACUUAGAUGUAUCUCCUAUCAAAUUUCGUAAUCAAUGGAGAAACUGUAAAAUAUUUAAAUAUUUAAAUAUUAUUAUUAAAUAUUUAUUUAUUAUUUUUAAUCAGAAUUUUUUUUUUACACCAGCAAUUAAGUUCCACAGUUUAAGGACUAACUGGUCUGGUUGACUGACACUGCUGAGUAACACUACAGUGUUUUAAAACUAUUAACAGGCUGCCAUUCAUGGGGCGAGUGGGCUUCAUGGCUAUUGUCACACAUUACAACCACGUAGUAAAAUUUUAAAAAGUCGUUACUGCUGAGAACAUGUCAUUCAUCAGAAAUGUGCACACAUUUUACAUGACAGGAACUGUUUUUUCCCCACUUCUCCUGAAAUAUACUACAUCAGGAAAAAAUGGUUUUUACCCUAAAAUUCCCAUGUUAUGAGCAGGGUUUUGAAAAAAUUUUCCACUAAUCCAUCCUGAGUCAUAGGUAUGACUUCAGCAAUGUUAGGGAACUUCUUUAGAUGGUGUUAAAGAGCUUAACAGGGCGCCUCCUUGUAGGAAUGUAAUGACUCCACUUCUGUUUGGAGACACCCCAGACCUAAAGAGCUCCUCUUUUCUGUGUUUUAAGAGAAAGACAUACUCCUCUCUUUUCUACUUUUUAAAUGUAUCCAUACUCUGGCAUUCAUAGGAAUUGGCAUUAACACGAGUAGAUAGAAACUACGUGAAAAGUGAGUCAUGCCUAGAAAACCCUGACCCUAGAAAAUGUUGAUAUACACUGCUUUAUUCCCUUAACUAUAUAAAGAUUGGUGCCUGGAAUUUUUUUUUUUCUGCACGUGUAAGAUUUGUAACAUGUAACAUUUCCAUUCUACAACAUGAAGUGGGAAGACUACAUGUAGUCUUGUACCUACAAUCGUGAAUUUCAAGGCCUGAUGUGGAUGCUUGUCUCACCUACUUUUUCCUUGUACUUGUUUUCCUCUAAUAUUACGAUUAAUUAAUAAACUAAUUAUUCUAGCUUAUGGAAUUGAUACAUUUGGCUGUUAAUUAUUAAAAAAGAAGCAUACACUAUUUUUAUGGGCAAAUUAAUAAUCUAAAAGAAGCUUUGACAAAUCAACACUUUUAAUAGUCAAUUAAUAGUCAAUAUAUGACCCCACCCCCCUCCACACACACACACACACACACACACAUAGAAAAAAACCCAUGAAAAAUAUACGACUUGGUUUAGUUUGACCUCUGUUACAUUGAGGCAGUGAUAUUUGAGUGCUGAGCAGGAAGCAGGUUCUCAUAGCCGUGUCUUUUUCCCCAUGUUGAAAAUGAUGGCACAGAAUGUAAGAUUGUAAUGUAUGAAGUACCAAGGAAAUUUUGCUAUGAAAUAAAAAAAUUAAAUAAAAUGCAGUUUUUCUUAAGAGUCGUGGAGUUUUCAGGUAUCAUGUUUAGGAAAUGCUUCAGUGAAGUGACACUUUUUAAAGCAAGUGGGUGAUUGAUCGGUGAACAGAGGAGUUUAAUGUGGCAUUCAGGUUCAGGUGUAAUUUCUAGCACAAUAUGCCGAUCAGUAUGGUACAUACAAAAGAGUGGACAGGAAAAGAGCUCAGUUUGUUCAUAUGGGUAAUGCAGACAAAAAAAAUACAUUUGCAGUGUGUGUGUGUGUGUUUGUGUAUUGUAAAAGGAACCGUGUAAACCUAAAAGAGGGACAAAGACCAAAGAAGGAAGAGUGCAUGUGAAAAAGAGAAAGACAAAGUGGUGAGAGAGGGCGUAUAUCUUUAGCUGCCUAUAAAGCUCUGCGUGCUUCUCAUUUUAGGCAGAAGUGAAUCCUGGCUGUAAGAAAUGAUGACAAUACACUAAUAAAGCAUCUCAAACUGA